rnacentral:misc_RNA from 1 species
GAAAUGCGAUAAGUAGUGUGAAUUGCAGAAUUUAGUGAAUCAUCGAAUCUUUGAACGCACAUUGCGCCCUUUGGUAUUCCUUAGGGCAUGCCUGUUCGAGCGUCAUCUAAACCUUCAAGCCCUGCUUGGUGUUGGGUGCCUGUCCCGCCUCCGCGCGCGGACUCACCUCAAAUCCAUUGGCGGCCCCCGCGUCGGCCACGAGCGCAGCAGAAACGCGAACUCGUGAGCCCGUCCGGGCGGCUCCCAGAAGCUACACCCACCCAGUUUGACCUCGGAUCAGGUAGGGAUACCCGCUGAACUUAAGC